AAUUAAAAAAAAAAAAAAUUUCUUCCGCAUUUACAGGCAGAAAGCCCUCCGAUAACUUAACGAACUGUUUCAGAACGAUUAAUUCAGACACCAAAAAGUGCAUCUAAUCCACCAAAUUAAGCAACACUUUUUAAGUUUUAUAGUCUACCUAUGAAGUACUAAUCAAGAAAAAUCAUAUUAAAAUUAAAGAAAGGAAAUAACAAUACCCCAUGAGAUUAAUGCGAAG
rnacentral:misc_RNA from 1 species